ensembl:lncRNA
CUCCAGCCGGCGGGUGCCCGCGGCGCCAGCUUUUCCGGCUUCCAGUUGCCAGGGGGCGCUGCGACACAAUAGCCCGUGCCCGGAGGGGCGGCGGCCGCGUGAGCAGGGAGCCGCGCGCCGGGUAGUGGGGACCACCGGGUGGAGCCCGGGACAGCUGUGAGUCCGCUCGAGCGGCUUUCCUUCCUCCACCGCCUCCUCCUCUCGCUCUCCGCGGGCCUCACGGUGGGGCUGCCGCGGCGACGGCGACUGAAGUCCAGGCGCCGUUAUCUGUAGCCUCCUGGCGACCGUGACAAGCAGGCGCGUGAGUUUCCUGGGCACCAGGAGCCUUGGGAGGAGACACUUCACUCCUUUCCCGCAACCCAGAGAAGCAGGGACUUGGUCUCAGCCUUUCUCGCAGCUCUGAGAGGUGCUGUUACGUCCAGUUGCACCUCCCCACCGCCCUUGGAGAGAAUGUAGAGUGCCCCGCCUCCUGCAGGUAACAAAGGAUCAGGGCGUUCUCUGUGAAAUAACUGCAGAAUAUGAACUGAUGCUGCUGGCAUUUCCCUUGGAGUUUUACUGCAGCUGUCAGUAUUCCGAAUUCCGGAUGACUCGGUUACUUACAAGAUUGGAUUUCUUAUCCUGCAAAGCUGAGGUGAAGGCCAGACCCUAGAAAAACAGAAAAUUCAUCAAGGCUCAGUUCAAGAACCACCCCCUCCAAGUUGUCUUCCUGGAUUUAUUCAGCCCAAAGUUAUCCUUGUCUUUCCUGGGACAUGUCAGCAUUCUGGACAGAAGAAACCAACAAGCAAUGGAGAGGCCACAUCAAGCAGCUAGAAUCUCUGCAGCCCAGUGUUCUGUUUGAUGGGCUUCUAGGGGCUGUUCAAAGGGAGAUACCAGCAGCCUGGAAAUUCCAAAUGGAAGGCAAUGAUCAUGGGCAGUUGAUGCCUUCUCCAGGGUGGUGACAGUGGUGUUUUUGCCAGAGCAGCACCAACGGAUCCCUCAAGACUUUGUUAUGGAUUUUGUCUCUGGGAACACAGACUCUGCUUUUCAAGAUGAUUCUCUCUCUACCAUUGUAUUGGUUCCUCCUCCUGGGCUCAGCAGCCUGGAAAUAGAAACAGCAGUGGUGGCUGAUUGUCUUGAUCCAGACGGAAGUUGUGUGGCAGGAGAUAUUUCAGACCUAAAGAAGAUAUGUAAAACAUUAUAAUAAAUUCCCAUGUGCCCACAACUCAGCUUAAGAAAUAAAAUAUUACAGAUACAGUUGAAGCCCCCUGUGUACCCACACAUUAUAGUUCUUCUCUUUUCCUAACACUGCCUCCUUUUGACUGACAGCCUUCAAAGAUACCCUCAAUGAACCCCAUCUUCUGGUAUUCAUGCCCUCCCCUCAAGUGUGGGCUGGACUUAGUGACUUGAUUCUAAUGAAUAGAAUGUGAUAAGGUGAUGAGAUGUCACUUCUGUGAUUAGGUUACAAAAGAUUGUGACUUCCAUCCUGCUGGCACUCUCUCUUGCCCUCUCACUUGCUCUGAUGAAGCCUGCUACCAUGUUGUGAGAUACUUUAUGGGGAGACCCACAUGGCAAAGAUUCAAGGGAGGCCUCCAGCCAACAGCUUAUGAGGAAUUAAUCCUUAGUCCAACAGCCUGGGAAAAACUGAAUCCUGCCAACAACUAUGUGAGUGAACUUGGAAGUAGGUCCUCCCCAUUAGAGCCUUCAGAAAAGACUGCAUCCCUGGCCAACACCUUGAUUGCAGCCUUGUUAAAGGCCCUGAAGCAGAAGACCCAGCUAAGCCAUGCUUGGAUUCCUGAAAAUGUAUGUUUUAAGCAGCUAAGUUUGGGGGUAAUUUGUUAUACCACAUGAUAACUAAUACACCUUCUGAGACGUAACCACUAUCCUAAAUGUGCUGUCAUUCCUGUACAUGUCUUUAUAUAUAUGCUACAUUUGUAUGCAUCAUUCCCAUGCAUGCCUACACACACACACAUGCACACACUCAC